UACGGAGGGUGCAGCGUGUCUCUCGGAAUACUGGGCGUAAAGGGCGCGUAGGCGGCCUGAUAAGUAGGGGGUGAAAUCCUGCGGCUUAACCGCAGGGCUGCCUUCUAAACUGUCAGGCUAGAGCACAGUAGAGGCAGGUGGAAUUCCCGGUGUAGCGGUGGAAUGCGUAGAGAUCGGGAAGAACAUCAGUGGCGAAGGCGGCCUGCUGGGCUGUUGCUGACGCUGAGGCGCGACAGCGUGGGGAGCAAACAGG
rnacentral:rRNA from 1 species